AUUGAACGCUGGCGGCAGGCCUAACACAUGCAAGUCGAGCGGAUGAAGGGAGCUUGCUCCUGGAUUCAGCGGCGGACGGGUGAGUAAUGCCUAGGAAUCUGCCUGGUAGUGGGGGAUAACGUCCGGAAACGGGCGCUAAUACCGCAUACGUCCUGAGGGAGAAAGUGGGGGAUCUUCGGACCUCACGCUAUCAGAUGAGCCUAGGUCGGAUUAGCUAGUUGGUGGGGUAAAGGCCUACCAAGGCGACGAUCCGUAACUGGUCUGAGGGGAUGAUCAGUCACACUGGAACUGAGACACGGUCCAGACUCCUACGGGAGGCAGCAGUGGGGAAUAUUGGACAAUGGGCGAAAGCCUGAUCCAGCCAUGCCGCGUGUGUGAAGAAGGUCUUCGGAUUGUAAAGAACUUUAAGUUGGGAGGAAGGGCAGUAAGUUAAUACCUUGCUGUUUUGACGUUACCAACAGAAUAAGCACCGGCUAACUUCGUG
rnacentral:rRNA from 1 species